GUGAACGCUGGCGGUAGGCCUAACACAUGCAAGUCGCACGGCAGCACAGUAAGAGCUUGCUCUUACGGGUGGCGAGUGGCGGACGGGUGAGGAAUACAUCGGAAUCUACUUUUUCGUGGGGGAUAACGUAGGGAAACUUACGCUAAUACCGCAUACGACCUACGGGUGAAAGCAGGGGAUCUUCGGACCUUGCUCGAUUGAAUGAGCCGAUGUCGGAUUAGCUAGUUGGCGGGGUAAAGGCCCACCAAGGCGACGAGCCGUAGCUGGUCUGAGAGGAUGAUCAGCCACACUGGAACUGAGACACGGUCCAGACUCCUACGGGAGGCAGCAGUGGGGAAUAUUGGACAAUGGGCGCAAGCCUGAUCCAGCCAUACCGCGUGGGUGAAGAAGGCCUUCGGGUUGUAAAGCCCUUUUGUUGGGAAAGAAAAGCAGCAGGUUAAUACCCCGCUGUUCUGACGGUACCCAAAGAAUAAGCACCGGCUAACUUCGUG
rnacentral:rRNA from 1 species